AUAUGCCUGGCUCCCUGUAUGCCACUCGCACGGCUACCACCCUGGAUCGGAGCUUGAUCGAUCGGUGGCCGCCGCGGCUGGCGUGCGAGGUGCCAAGCAUGG
rnacentral:pre_miRNA from 1 species